CCUACGGGAGGCAGCAGUGGGGAAUAUUGGACAAUGGGGGAAACCCUGAUCCAGCGACGCCGCGUGAGUGAAAAAGUAUUUCGGUACGUAAAGCUCUAUCAGCAGGAAAGAAAAUGACGGUACCUGACUAAGAAGCCCCGGCUAACUACGUGCCAGCAGCCGCGGUAAUCCGUAGGGGGCAAGCGUUAUCCGGAUUUACUGUGUGUACAGGGAGCGUAGACGGCAGCGCAAGUCUGGAGUGAAAUGCCGGGGCGCAACCCCGGAACUGCUCAGGAAACUGUGAAGCUGGAGUGCAGGAGAGGUAAGCGGAAGUCCGGGUGUAGCGGUGAAAUGCGUAGAUAUCAGGAGGAACACUGGCGGCGAAGGCGGCUUACUGGACUGUAACUGACGUUGAGGCUCGAAGGCGUGGGGAGCAAACAGGAUUAGAUACCCGGGUAGUC
rnacentral:rRNA from 1 species